UCCCUGAUAGCUCACUUAGUAAAGAAUCUGCCUGCAAUGCAGAAGACCCUGGUUUGAUUCCUGGGUAGGGAA
rnacentral:tRNA from 1 species